CUGGGUAAGUCGGGACCUAAGGCGAGGCCGAAAGGCGUAGUCGAUGGACAACAGGUAGAGAUUCCUGUACCCGUAUAUAUGUGAAGGAAUGACGGAGAGAGGAAGCUGCAGCCAGCGGCUGGAAGAGCUGGUGCAAGCGAGAUAUCGGGAUGGCAGGCAAAUCCACCAUCCGAAACGAGAAGGCGUGAAGCGUACGGAAAGCUACGGCGAGUACGGAAGGCAGUGGAGGAACUUCCAAGAAAAGUUUCUAACGUUAAGUAUAUAUGGCCCGUACCGAAAAUGGACACACAUGGGUGAGGAGAGAAUCCUAAGGUGAGCGAGAGAACUAUAGCUAAGGAACUCUGCAAAAUGACUCCGUAACUUAGGGAGAAGGAGUGCUCAUAGAGAUAUGAGCCGCAGUGAAACGGCCCAAGCGACUGUUUACCAAAAACACAGCUCUCUGCUAAGCCGCAAGGCGAAGUAUAGGGGGUGACGCCUGCCCGGUGCUGGAAGGUUAAGGGGAGGGGUUAACGCAAGUGAAGCCCUGAACUGAAGCCCCAGUAAACGGCGGCCGUAACUAUAACGGUCCUAAGGUAGCGAAAUUCCUUGUCAGGUAAGUUCUGACCCGCACGAAAGGCGUAACGAUUUGGGCGCUGUCUCAGCUGUAGACUCGGUGAAGUCUUAGUACCUGUGAAGAUGCAGGUUACCCGCGACUAGACGGAAAGACCCCAUGGAGCUUCACUGCAGGUUGAUAUUGGGAUUUGAUGCAGCAUGUACAGGAUAGGUAGGAGGCAAAGAGAUGGAUACGCCAGUAUUCAAGGAGCCGCUGUUGGGAUACUACCCCUGUUGUAUUGGAUUUCUAACCGGACGACGUAGAGCCGUUGACGGGACAGUGUCAGUCGGGCAGUUUGACUGGGGCGGUCGCCUCCCAAAGAGUAACGGAGGCGCCCAAAGAUACCCUCAGCUUGGAUGGAAACCAAGCGCAGAGUGCAAAGGCAAAAGGGUGUUUGACUGCGAGACCCACAAGUCGAGCAGGGACGAAAGUCGGGCUUAGUGAUCCGGCGGUGCUGAAUGGAAAGGCCGUCGCUCAACGGAUAAAAGCUACCCUGGGGAUAACAGGCUGAUCUCCCCCAAGAGUUCACAUCGACGGGGAGGUUUGGCACCUCGAUGUCGGCUCAUCGCAUCCUGGAGCUGAAGUCGGUUCCAAGGGUUGGGCUGUUCGCCCAUUAAAGCGGUACGCGAGCUGGGUUCAGAACGUCGUGAGACAGUUCGGUCCCUAUCUGUCGUGGGCGCAGGAAAUUUGAGAAGAGCUGUCCUCAGUACGAGAGGACCGGGAUGGACGCAUCAAUGGUGGACCAGUUGUCACGCCAGUGGCAUAGCUGGGUAGCUAAAUGCGGAAGGGAUAAACGCUGAAGGCAUCUAAGUGUGAAACCCACUUCAAGAUGAGAUUUCCCAUUGCGCAAGCAAGUAAGACCCCUUAAAGACGAUAAGGUAGAUAGGUCAGGAGUGUAAGCAUGGUGACAUGUUAAGCGGACUGAUACUAAUAGGUCGAGGGCUUGACCGA
rnacentral:rRNA from 1 species